rnacentral:rRNA from 1 species
GGCUGCCUACGGGGCGCAGCAGUGGGGAAUAUUGGGCAAUGGGCGCAAGCCUGACCCAGCAACGCCGCGUGAGUGAAGAAGGCCUUCGGGUCGUAAAGCUCUGUUGCGGGGGAAAAAAGGCAGCAUCAGGAAAUGGGUGCUGACUGAUGGUGCCCCGCCAGAAAGUCACGGCUAACUACGUGCCAGCAGCCGCGGUAAUACGUAGGUGGCGAGCGUUAUCCGGAAUGAUUGGGCGUAAAGGGUGCGCAGGCGGUCCUGCAAGUCUGGAGUGAAACGCAUGAGCUCAACUCAUGCAUGGCUUUGGG